UUGCUCCUUUGACGUUAGCGGCGGACGGGUGAGUAACACGUGGGUAACCUACCUAUAAGACUGGAAUAACUCCGGGAAACCGGGGCUAAUGCCGGAUAACAUUUAGAACCGCAUGGUUCUAAAGUGAAAGAUGGUUUUGCUAUCACUUAUAGAUGGACCCGCGCCGUAUUAGCUAGUUGGUAAGGUAACGGCUUACCAAGGCAACGAUACGUAGCCGACCUGAGAGGGUGAUCGGCCACACUGGAACUGAGACACGGUCCAGACUCCUACGGGAGGCAGCAGUAGGGAAUCUUCCGCAAUGGGCGAAAGCCUGACGGAGCAACGCCGCGUGAGUGAUGAAGGUCUUCGGAUCGUAAAACUCUGUUAUUAGGGAAGAACAAAUGUGUAAGUAACUAUGCACGUCUUGACGGUACCUAAUCAGAAAGCCACGGCUAACUACGUGCCAGCAGCCGCGGUAAUACGUAGGUGGCAAGCGUUAUCCGGAAUUAUUGGGCGUAAAGCGCGCGUAGGCGGUUUCUUAAGUCUGAUGUGAAAGCCCACGGCUCAACCGU
rnacentral:rRNA from 1 species